rnacentral:tRNA from 3 species
GGAAAGGUGCCGGAGCGGUUGAACGGGCCUGACUCGAAAUCAGGUGUACUUAGAAAUAGGUACCGGGGGUUCGAAUCCCUCCCUUUCCG